AUCUACAUUUUUGUCCAGCACUAAAGCAUGGCUCCUAAAUAUGAUAGUAAACAUGUGGGCCUUUCCUCUUUCAAUAGGAAUCCUCAUCUUUGAGAAUUAUAUCAGUCCUUAUUAUGUCCUCUGAAUAUGUUUCCUCAAGGAUCAAUAGACAAUAGCUAAAAAAAUUUUACAUUUUACUCAAACUCGCGCAUUUCAUGUUGAACUGCCUUGUAUAGAAAUUUCGGGAGAUUAAGUUAUGAGAAAAAAAGUUAUGUUUAAGGGCAUCGUAUUUACUAAUACACGUUUCUUCAAGGAUCAAUACGUAAAAUUAUCAUACCUGAGGGCCUCAUCAUAAUUAUUUGCUAGCCCUGAGAACCUAACCCCAAUAGUCCCUUUUCUACGGACCACCUGGAUGAGCCUUUCUUCGCCAACGAAUCUAGUUCACAGAUUCGCCUUUCUCCAUCAACAAGCCUAGUUUGCAGCUUUGCCUCACCGUGUGACUCCAACAAGGUACAUCAACGAGCCUGGAAGUUGUUACUAUGUAGAAUAUGUGGAUCCCUAGAUUCUUACAUUUGCUCAGCAGCUUAGCACUUUGAGGAUGACAGGAUUCAAGCAGCCCAGUUUCACACCGAACUACUUAUUUAAGCAAGAGGAAAUCUCUUUUAAUGUGGAUGAGGAAUUUAAUUCAACAACAUAGGUGGUGUGCUCUAAACUGCCUGCAAGGAGCCACGUUCUGAAUUUCUUUAGACCAUCUUGAAACCAAUACUGAUCUCGGCAAGUUUUAAUAAAUAUUUUGGAUUUCGUUCCGACUUCCA
rnacentral:lncRNA from 1 species